rnacentral:rRNA from 1 species
UACGUAGGUGACAAGCGUUAUCCGGAUUUAUUGGGCGUAAAGCGCACGCAGGCGGUCGAUUAAGUCUGACGUGAAAUCUCUCGGCUUAACCGGGAGCAGUCGUUGGAAACUAAUCAGCUUGAGGCGAUGAGAGGGUGUGGAAUUCCCGGUGUAGUGGUGGAAUGCGUAGAUAUCGGGAGGAACAUCAGUGGCGAAGGCGGCACCCUGGCAUUAGCCUGACGCUCAUGUGCGAAAGCGUGGGGAGCGAACGGG